UUUUGGUCAAGUAACGAAGGGCAGACGGUGGAUGCCUUGGCGCCAGGAGGCGAUGAAGGACGUGGGUAGCUGCGAAAAGCUUCGGGGAGUCGCUAACCAGACUUUGAUCCGGAGAUGUCCGAAUGGGGAAACCCGGCUGGGGUCAUGCCCAGUCAUCCCGCACUGAAUCCAUAGGUGCGGGAAGCUAACCCGGGGAACUGAAACAUCUCAGUACCCGGAGGAACGGAAAUCAACCGAGACUCCCCGAGUAGCGGCGAGCGAAAGGGGAACAGCCCAAACCGGUGGGAAGCAAUUCCUGCCGGGGUUGUGGGACUCCGACGUGGGACCCGAAGAGGUAGUCGAGCGGUCUGGAAAGGCCGGCCAGAGAGGGUGAUAGCCCCGUAAGCGAAACCUCGACGGGCCCUAGGAGCAUCCCGAGUACCACGGGGCACGUGAAACCCUGUGGGAAUCUGGGGGGACCAUCCUCCAAGGCUAAGUACUACCUGGCGACCGAUAGUGAACCAGUACCGUGAGGGAAAGGUGAAAAG
rnacentral:rRNA from 1 species